UGGGGAAUAUUGGACAAUGGGCGCAAGCCUGAUCCAGCCAUGCCGCGUGAGUGAUGAAGGCCCUAGGGAUGUAAAGCUCUUUCACCGGUGAAGAUAAUGACGGUAACCGGAGAAGAAGCCACGGCUAACUUCGUGCCAGCAGCCGCGGUAAUACGAAGGGGGCAAGCGUUGUUCGGAGUUACUGGGCGUAAAGCGCACGUAGGCGGACUUUUAAGUCAGGGGUGAAAUCCCGGGGCUCAACCCCGGAACUGCCUUUGAUACUGGAAGUCUUGAGUUUGGUAGAGGUGAGUAGAAUUCCGAGUGUAGAGGUGAAAUUCGUAGAUAUUCGGAGGAACACCAGUGGCGAAGGCGGCUCACUGGACCAUUACUGACGCUGGGGUGCGAAAGCGUGGGGAGCAAACAGG
rnacentral:rRNA from 1 species